rnacentral:tRNA from 1 species
GGGCGGGUGCUGGAGCCGGUAUACAGGGGGGACUUAAAAUCCCCUGGCCGAAAGGCCUCGUGGGUUCGAACCCCACCCCGCCCACCA